rnacentral:rRNA from 1 species
UAGUCCACGCCGUAAACGAUGGAUACUCGGUGCUGCCGGACUUGUCUGGCGGUGCCCAAGCUAACGCAUUAAGUAUCCCACCUGGGGAGUACGCUCGCAAGAUUGAAACUCAAAGGAAUUGACGGGGGCCCGCACAAGCGGUGGAGCAUGUGGUUUAAUUCGAUGAUACGCGAGGAACCUUACCAGGGCUUAAAUGUAAUAUGACAGGACUAGAGAUAGUUUUUUCUUCGGACAUAUUACAAGGUGCUGCAUGGUUGUCGUCAGCUCGUGCCGUGAGGUGUCAGGUUAAGUCCUAUAACGAGCGCAACCCCUGCCGUUAGUUGCCAGCAUUUAAAGAUGGGGACUCUAGCGGGACUGCCGGUGCAAACCGAGAGGAAGGUGGGGAUGACGUCAAAUCAUCACGGCCCUUACGUCCUGGGCUACACACGUGCUACAAUGGUAGUGACAGAGAGCAGCUACUGCGCAAGCAGGUNCGAAUCUAUUAAACGCUAAUCUCAGUUC